UCCUGGCAGGAGUGAAAUAAUAACAGCUUAUUCAGCUGUGAGAAAGAAUUUAUAAAACAGUCUUGUAGUGGACAACAGUCUAAGUCAUCAAAAGGUCAACAUACAGUAUUCUAUCAUAUGCAAACUUAUAUCAUUAAAAGCUUAUACUGACUACUAAGUACAAUUCUCCAUUGACAUUCCCUCCUGUUGUCAGUAUAACUUUAAGUGAGAUAUCAGUAUGUAACAUCUUGUUGUACAUUUUCUGUCACACCAUCAUUAAUCACACAAAGUCUUCAUGCUCCAACAGGUCGGAGUCAUCAUCAUCAUUUGUCACGGCUAUGUAUGCAGCAACAGUGGAAACAAUUAUACGGUUAAUCAUGAGUUUUAGACAUGGCAGGAUACAUGUUACAAAAACACAAAAUAAAAAUAAAAAUACAAAAAGGGAUAAAUAGAAUAAAUAAGAAUAAGAAUACAAAGGAAUUGCAAGUAUUUCAAGUAUUUCAAGUAUUGAAGUCUAUUGCACCGUUGGUUUUUAACAAAAAGUAUUGCACAGUGAAAAGGCAGUAGUAGUCUUUUUAGCAGUCACUUGUAUUAUUUACAUAGUCCUGAGUUUGGGCCUGCUGGAUCUGUCUCAAGGCGUUCAGGGCAUCAGUCAUGUUUGAUGAGUGUACAUUGUCUGAUGUGUGUGUGUUUCUCUUCAUUCUGAGUCAGUGUGUGUAGAUGUGUAUGUUUGUGUAUGUUGGCGUGUUUAUCACUUUCCUGUUCUGGUGUUUUGGGUAAACCACGGCCUGAAGCGUGCCCUGGGGUCCUGUCCUCCUCCUUUUCAGUCCGGUUGCGACCAUUGCUGCUGCUGCUCAUAGUUCAGUCUGUCCUGGUCCUGGCCCCAAUUGGGGCAGUCCUUUCUCCAGUGUCCAUGCUCACCGCAGGUGAAACCUGCAUCUUCUUCUGUGUUUUGUCCAUUCUGAGGUGCCUUUUGACCUCAGUUGCUCCUCCUGUCUCUGGCACGCCCUUUCUUCUGCUGCCCGAUCAUCCGUGUUGGUCCAUCACUGUCCUGCACAGUGUUAAU
ensembl:lncRNA